AGUGUCAUAUUAUAAAAAUAAUAUUACUAAAACUCAAGCUUUACCUAUUAAUAUGCAAGAGUCAACUAUUCGAAAGCUGAAAGAUGAAUACCCAUUCGAAUGGAGAAAUAAAUCUAUAAAAUAUCUUGGUAUUCAUCUUUCAGUUUCAAAACAGGAAAUGAUAAAAAAUUACCAUAGCAAAUUAUUAAGAGAAGUACAAGAUACACU